rnacentral:rRNA from 1 species
UUGAUCCUGGCUCAGGAUGAACGCUGGCGGCGUGCCUAAUACAUGCAAGUCGAGCGAUGAGGCUCCUUCGGGAGUACAUCAGCGGCGAACGGGUGAGUAACACGUGGGUGACUUGCCCUGAAGAUGGGGAUAACCUCUGGAAACGGGGGCUAAUACCCAAUGUGCUCGGUGAUUCGGUUCAUCGAGUAAAGCUCCGGCGCUUCGGGAGAGGCCUGCGGCCCAUCAGCUAGUUGGUAGGGUAACGGCCUACCAAGGCAGAGACGGGUAGGGGGCGUGAGAGCGCGGACCCCCACACUGGCACUGAGAUACGGGCCAGACUCCUACGGGAGGCAGCAGUAAGGGAUAUUGCGCAAUGGACGAAAGUCAGACGCAGCGACGCCGCGUUGGGCGAUGAAGGCCUUCGGGUUGUAAAGCCCUUUUAUGAACGAAGAGAAAACGGACGGGUACCCCAGGAAUAAGUCCCGGCUAACUACGUGCCAGAAGCCGAGGUAAAACCGUAGGGGACCAAGCGUUAUCCGGAAUCACUGGGCGUAAAGAGCGUUGAGAGCGGUCCGUAAGUAGGGCGUGAAAGCUCCGGGCUU